AAGCUGAGAAUGCAGACGGGCGAGGCAACAGCUGCUACAUGAGGCUGGGUGGCCCCCGUGGCUACCGACGUGCACCCCCCGUUAAGCAAGACUGAAGCCGCACCGCGGCGGCCUCAGUAGCCGCACAGCAGCCCCCCAGAACGCUAAUUUCAGUCAGGGCCCUCUGACAAUGCACCCCAAUGAGAAGGGAGAGAAGGAAAUGUCAGGAUGUCCCAGGCCCACCUCCUGCCUGCCCUCCAUCUGUGCCUGCGUCAGGGCUCACGGGAACAUAUGCUGCCUGUUGCUCACUGACCAUCUGUUCACAGGGCUGUGAAGUGUGCCCGUUACCUUGGAGAUGGGACCCUCGAUUGGCGCAACACCACAAACAUUCGCUGCUCAGGGCUCAUCGGGCCUGGCUCCAGCACAGACUCCCAUCUCGAAAGCGAGUGUCUGUGGAGCCUCAGCCUUCCACUCCGGCUCUGCCCCGCGAUGGGACAUCUGUCCUCCCCCACCCUGUUGGAGCUGGUGCAAGGAGGAGCAAACAAGCUGUUAUUAACAACAGUCGGUCCUGAGAAACAUCUCUUGCUCAGUUUGGGCGGUGGAGGGGGCCUGCCGUGGUCCCAGGGGGGAGUUCCAGGUCUCCGGCAAGAGUCAGAAAAUUGGAAUCACACCUUUUAACAAGCUGCCCCCAGCUUAGGACAGUCACCUUAGCGCAAGGCCAGGGUCAGAAUGGGCUCUGUUCUUUUCCUUGGAAAUUUGGGGAUCCAGGGUCACCAAGUCUCAAGUCCAUUUUCUUCUGCCAUUGCUCAGUCUGGUAGCAAACCGGCCAACACGUAGGAUCCUAGGGGUACACUUAAGUACAUGGAAGCCGUUUGAAAAGGGAGCUAUGACCACGGAGACCACUCUUUAGUGCUCCCUCACAAUGAGCAAAUGUGUUGGCAUCCCCAUCAGAAGGAAAGACUGGACAGCUGUGAUCUAAUUGCUCAGCUUCUCACAUAGCUGGGACUACAGCCUGGUCCAAGCUCUGCUUGGGGUCUCUGGAGCUCUUUGUCACUGGCAAAGGAACGGUGUCUUCCAUAUGUUCUUAGGGAGCCAGCAUCCCUGUAAGUUUCCAUCUGGGACAAGGAGAAGUCAUAUUGGAACGGCAUCGCCCCCUCACAGCCCAAACCCCCUCACACUCUUGAAGACCUUCCAAAAACUCCCUGGCCAAUGUGCCUGGGGCGAUCACAACUUUCAGAAUCUUAAUAAAUCUAUGUUUAAAAGCGUC